GAUGAACGCUGGCGGCGUGCCUAAUACAUGCAAGUCGAGCGAAGGGGGGACGGGUGAGGAACACGUGGAUAACCUCCUAAAAGACUGGGAUAAAUUCGGGGAACCGGAGCAAAACGGGCUACUUAUGGAUGGAUCCGCGCUGGAUUAGCUAGUUGGUAAGGUAACGGCUCACCAAGGCAACGAUGCGUAGCCGACCUAAGAGGGUGAUCGGCCACACUGGAACUGAGACACGGUCCAGAUUCCUACGGGAGGCAGCAGUAGGGAAUCUUCCGCAAUGGGCGAAAGCCUGACGGAGCAACGCCGCGUGAGUGAUGAAGGUUUUCGGAUCGUAAAACUCUGUUAUUAGGGAAGCGGUACCUAACCAGAAAGCCACGGCUAACUACGUGCCAACAGCCGCGGUAAUAC
rnacentral:rRNA from 1 species